rnacentral:sRNA from 1 species
UUUUAGCCCCGAUUGUAGUGAAAAUCCUUGCCUUUUUUAGGCAAGAUUGUAACGAAAAGCGGGAAUUGCC